AAAAGACACAAAGCAGCGACUGGCGGGUGAUCAGCCCAUCGUGAAGAGGAGGAACUCCACUCUUCGGCGACUCCCUUAGGAGUUUCUGUCCGUCGUCUGCAGCAAGGAGGUCCGAUGCCGAAGCAACCAGGCCGAAAUGGGAAGGAUCAAUCAAGGGGCAAGGCUGAUUGGCGAGACAAAAGGAAGUCGCGAGCAACAGCAGUGACGGAAACAAGGUUCAAAUCAGGAAGAGAAAUUGAAACAAUUUUCGUUUUAUUUUUUUUAUCGAUAGCGACAAAGGAACGUCCCUGAGGGUCGAUAAGGCCGAAGAGGAGUUUGGAUAAGUGGAGGUCGAUUUCUGGCGAUUACGGGUUCGUGAAUGGAGGUUUGCUCCGGUAGUGUAUCGCGAAGAAAGGUGAGGGGUCCGUCGAGUCCGACGCUCCUCUGUUGGUCGAACCUCCGUCACCGACAGUCAUGGAUCGAGUGGAUGGGGUGUUCAGUGGUCACACAACCACAAAAAGGGUGAGGCAUCUCCGGUGUUUGGCUGGACCGGAGAAAGUGAGGAUUCGGAAGCAGCAACGCUCCUCAGGUCAUCUUCGUGGGUACAUCAAGGGCAGUUCAUCGAUCGAAAUCGAUGAAUGGACUAGAUGUUUGGGUUGUUUGAUCAACGGGAAAGAAAACGAGGGAGGAAGAAAGAGGGGGCUAUUUGGCUGUUGUUGCUCGGUAAUCAUCACCGGGGUGUAUUUUGGGUGGUGCUAGACGAAGAAGGAAACGAAGGUGGCUGUCUCAGCCGGCCAAGAAGUCGCCGGCAGUUUCUUGUCCUCAUCGGGAGUUCUAAAACAGAAGAGAGAAGAGAGAUAAGAAUGUUGAGGAAGAGAAACUAAAGAGCUGUAUCAUUUUUAGAGAUGUGCCAAACAAAAAUGAAUCAAAGAAAAAAUGUGAAAAUCUUAUUUUGUAAAAAUUUUAAUAGAUUGAUUGUGGUUGUACACAAUUAGAUUUCUAAGGAUAUUUGGAGUAAAAUCAAGAGUUAGAUA